rnacentral:lncRNA from 1 species
CAACAAGAUAUCGCCAGAGGAAAGGGUAUGGUGGAUUCCCUCUUCCAAGCUCCCAUGGGAACUGGAACCCACCACGCUAUUAUGAAUUCUUAUGAGUACCUCAGCGCUGGGCUUCGUCAGUAAGUGAUUUUUUACAACUUCUUUCGCAUCUCUUAGCUUAACUCAAUGUUAUUGGGAUUGAAGUUUGUGGCUGGUGUUGCAGGUACAACUUGGACAACAACAUGGAUGGUUUCUACAUUGCUCCUGCUUUCAUGGACAAGCUUGUUGUUCACAUUACCAAGAACUACAUGACCCUGCCAAACAUCAAGGUAUAGUUCAAUAUCUUACUCCUCAUUUCUUAUUUAGUCAUAACACUAUAUUUAUAGAUAACGGUAUCUUAGCGGAGCUUAAUACUAUUAAAAUAAUAAUUUAAUAGUUUAAAACGGUUAUAUGUAAAAUUUAUUUUUUUAUUAUAUAUAAUAACAUAAUUUAAUAAAAUCAAAAUUUUAGUUCUAUUUUUUAUUUAUCGUGGGAAAAAUAAUUAAAUUAAUAUUAUAUACUUAAUUUUAGAGACAAAUGCAGUGAUUAUCAAACUGUUGUUAUUAAUUUAUGGGUAUAAUUAAAGUAUAUAAAAUAAUAAUUUAAUGCUGUUGUCUCAGUAACAGUGUAACUAAUGUAAUCGGACCCUUUUGUAAUAUUUUAAGUAAAGAUUGAACAAAGUCUGUUUCAUUGUCUCAGGUUCCUCUCAUUUUGGGUAUCUGGGGAGGCAAAGGUCAAGGAAAAUCCUUCCAGUGCGAGCUUGUCUUUGCCAAGAUGGGAAUUAAGUGAGUCCAUGUCUUGUUGUUUAUUAAUAAUAGAACAAAAUAUUAAUACAGGAACUUGUCUUGAUUGUUUCUGUGUAUGACACACAUUUCAGCCCAAUCAUGAUGAGUGCCGGAGAAUUGGAAAGUGGAAACGCCGGUGAACCCGCCAAGCUCAUCAGGCAAAGGUACCGUGAGGCAGCUGAUAUCAUCAAGAAGAAGGGAAAAAUGUGCUGCCUCUUCAUCAACGAUCUCGAUGCCGGAGCUGGUAGACUUGGAGGAACUACACAAUACACUGUCAACAACCAGAUGGUGAAUGCUACACUCAUGAACAUUGCCGAUAACCCAACAAACGUGCAACUUCCCGGUAUGUACAACAAGGAAGAGAAUCCCCGUGUCCCUAUCAUCGUCACCGGUAACGAUUUCUCGACAUUGUAUGCUCCACUUAUCCGUGAUGGUCGUAUGGAGAAAUUCUACUGGGCACCUACCAGGGAUGAUAGAAUUGGUGUCUGCACUGGAAUCUUCAGAACUGAUGGUGUUCCACCGGAAGACAUUGUUAAGCUUGUUGAUACCUUCCCAGGACAAUCCAUUGGUCAGUUGAUGGAAAAAAAAAAAAAAAAAAAAAGAAGAAAAUUUAUAUUGUAAAAUCUUAGAGUUUAAGGAAAUUUAUUUCAUUAUGCAGACUUCUUCGGUGCUGUGAGGGCAAGAGUUUACGAUGAUGAAGUGAGGAAGUGGGUUUCAGGCGUAGGAGUGGAAACCAUUGGAAAGAAACUUGUGAACUCAAGAGAAGGACCCCCAACAUUCGAGCAACCAAAGAUGAACCUGGACAAGCUCCUUGAGUACGGACAGAUGCUUGUCCAAGAGCAAGAGAAUGUGAAGAGAGUUCAAUUGGCUGACAAGUACUUGAGUGAGGCUGCUCUUGGUGAGGCCAACCAAGAUUCCAUUGAUAGAGGAACAUUCUACGGUUAGCUCCCUUGAUCCUAAUAAAGGCCUUGAUGUGGAGGUUUGCAUCUAACAAAUCUUACAAGAACAUGUUUGUCUGAAUCACCCAAGAGUCUCCUUAAGCUUUUUUUUUGCUUUUGUUGUUGUUGUUGCAGGUCAAGCUGCCCAGCAAGUUAAUAUACCAGUUCCUGAAGGUUGCACUGAUCCAGGUGCAUCAAACUUUGAUCCAACUGCUAGGAGUGAUGAUGGGAGCUGCACUUACAAGUUCUAGGCCUUUUUAUUGGGAUUUUUUUAUGUUAAUCUGUGGAAGGAUAAUCACUUCCAAACUCAUUUGGGAUUUGUCAACCUAUAAUGUUUCCUUGUCUUGAAUGGAUUUCUAUCCUCUAAUUUUGUGUGAUUAUUACAAUUUUCAAUCAUCUUAAACCAGUGGUUUGUUUCCUACCACCAACUUUAGAGAAUUAUUUACUUGUGGCUUGAAAGACUCCAUAUUCAUAAUUAAUAAAUUUGAAAAUUUUAUUAUUAAAAUAUAAAAAUAAUUACUAAUCUACUAGAUCAUUUUUAUUCAUGUGUCGUAAUGUAAGUGGCGGAAAGUAAACCACCUGCAUCACACAGAUAUGAGAGUUCCCAUAUAGACUGAGAAAUUCUCUGGAUUGUAGAUAUGAGAAAUUUCACAUAUAAUUAAAUUAAUUAAAAAAAAAAAAGAGAGGGGAAAAGAAUGAAGAUAAUUAACUAAAAAUAAAAGAAAGAAGAGAAAGGAAAGAGAGGAAAAAGAAUGGAGAUGGAAGAAAAAUAGUUAGUUAAGCAAAGGUUUUACGUACACUUUUUCAUAGAAAAAAUGAAAGAAAUUUUAAAUUUUAAAGUUAUAAAGUUUAAUAAAUCAAGUGAAAUUUUGGUCGAUUCAUAUUUUUCACUUGAUUUAUUAUUAAUUUUUUUAAUUUAAUCACAAUUUAAGUGUAUUUAUAAUUUAUCUUAUAUAUUUAAUUAAUUAAAAUAUAGAAUAAAAUUAAUAAUGUCACUGUUGGAAUAAAUAAUUAUAAAAUUUAGAUAUAUUUAAGAUUGAUCCUGUAGAUUCAGAGUGAAAACCAUAAGAUUCUCAUAACAAUGGAUAAGACAGUUUAACAAAUAUUUUAUCAACUCUAUCUUCCAUUCCAUAUCAUGUCAAAAUCAAAUUUAAAAUUUUAUUAAUUUAAAGGAUAUUACGAUAAAUAUUAAAAUUAAUAAUAAAAAUUUUAUAAUAAUAUUAAUUAAUAUACUGUAAUAAUAUAAAUAAUUAUCGCAAAUAAUACUAAAAAAAUAUAAUACAAAAAUUAAUUUUUCAUGUAUUGGCUUGCAUAGUUUGAAUCGAAUAGUCGUUUUUUUUUUUUUNNNNNNNNNNNAGUAAGGCUUGUUGUUCAAAGGUUCACGUCUGGAUUGGGCUCAUCACUUUUGGUUACCAGCCCAUAUCUUUUGUUAAAACAAACUCUCUCUCCUUUUUUUCCCUCUUUUAAAGGUAGAAUUCAUUGCAAUAGAAGACCAAAGCCCAGUUUUUUUCUCUUUUUUUUUAAAAAAAGUCCUAGAACAGAAGCUCUAAGCCUGGAUUCGACCCACAAGAAGAUCUGACCUAGAAUUAAAUGUAGCAGCACCUCUCAUCUCAAGCUACGGCUCCCUUGCAGAUCCAUUCCAGGCAGGUGCACAAGGGAGCAACCAACACAGUUAUUCCCUUAGGGAGUCUAGCAAAAUCAAUAAAGGCCAAAUGCAAGAGAAAAAAGCACAGCCAUGGAAGGAAGAAGGGUUUGAUCCAAGGGAUCAGGCAAUGAGAUAGAGCUCUUAUGCACUUUCGAUGCCUGGAGGAUGUCAUUUUCAGAAGGCAUUGCAAUGAAAGUUGCUAACUUUUUGUGGGUGGAGAGAGAUAUUUUGAUUAUGUGAUUAAUUCUUACAUAUUAAAAAGUCAAUUGUUUUCAACCAACCACAAUAAACUAAAAUACUAAAUGGUUAUGUACAGACAUCAGCCAAAACGUCAUCAAGUUUAUUUAAAUUCAGUGAAUAAUUUAACCACCAAAAAUUAUUACUUUGCAGUAAAUUCUUUAAAUAAAAAAAUUGCAUCUUUUUUUUACAAUUAUAAAUUAUGUCCAACUAAUUUGUUUUAACAGUUUUCUAUUUGAAAUAAAAACAUUCAAUUUUUUUAAUUUUAAAAGAAAUAAAAUAUUUCAUGAUUUAUAAUAGUUUAUUUGAUUUUUUUUUACAAAAUGAAUUGUGUUAAAUAAGGGUUUAAAAUUAAAAUAAAUUUCUUAAAAUUCAAAAUAUAGUGAAAAUUUUUUAAAGUUUUUUUUAAAAAAAUUAUCCAAUAAUUACAUUUAACGAAAAUCAUAUCAAUAUAUUAAAUGACAAGCGACUAAAGAAGUUGAAUUUUAAGGAAGAGAUGUCUCUGUCAAUAUAGAAUAGAAUCUUUACUAUAUAUAAUUUCUUUCUUUGGUCGUUGGAGUAGUUGACCAUUUGUAGAUAAUUUUCACCGUCCAAUUUAGAUUGUGAAUCAAAUUUAAUCAAUUAAUUUCAAUUUUUAAAUGAAAUUAUAAUUUUAAAUUAAAAAAAUUGAUUCUUUGUAAAUUAAAAUUAAAAUUGAAUAGAAACUGAUUGAUUUAAUUUACAAUUUGAUUUAAUUUCAGUUUGAUUUUUUAUUUUUAAAAUAAAUUAUUUUAUAAGAUUAUGACGCUUAAAAUUAAUGUAUAAACGAGUUAAAUUAUUAAAUUAAGUUCUUCUUUUGAGUCCAAAUCAUGAGAAAAAAAUACUGAAGGUUGCACAAAGGAUUCGACUUUUUAUUUAUUUAUUUAUUUUUAUUUUCUAGUUGUACUUAUUAAACAUCAAGAAUGUGGAAAAGAUUCCCAUCUUAAUUAUAUUCUUAAUUAGGUAAUUAAUCAAUUCAAGUAGCCAAAUCUUUUUACCAAAUUCCAACAAAUUUUUGACUUCUAUUGCACACAUGCCAUUUGCUUUUAAUUAAAAAAAAUAUUAUUUUAAAUAUAUUUAUAAAAAACUAUUAAAUUUAAAUUUAUUAUAUUUUAGCACUCAGAAUCCUAAUCUAAUAAUAAAUAAAUAUAAGUAAAUUUGAGAUAUCUCAAUUUUAUCAUUUCAAUUCCUUCAUUUCAAUCCCUAAUUUUUGAUUUUUAAAAAAAAUUAUUCAUAAUUUAAUGAUAAAUAAAUAUGAGAGAUCUCAAUUUUAUCUCCAAUUCUUAAUUUUUAAUUAAAAAAAUUUAUUAGAUUUUAAUUAUUAAAAAUUGUUAAAAUACAUUAUAUCUAAUUAUUUUUUAGUGAUAUUUUAAAAUGUAAUUUGUAAAAAAGAUAAUAAUCUCAAUCUCCAAAUCUAUUAACGAUGAUGACGUAGGCCUUAGAGGCGUUAUGAAUUUACUAAAUCUAGUAAAUUAAAUUUAAAUUAUUAUUUUAAAUUAAUUUGUUAAAAAAAAUAUUUCAUACAUCAAAUCAAAAUAAUAAUUUAAAUUAUUAUAUUUAACAAAUUCUUUAGAGUCAUAUUAUCGUCUUUAAUAAUUUAUUACGUCAAAUAUUUAAUUCUUCUCUUUGAUUUAAAUUAUCAAGAAAAGCGUCAACUGACUCAGAAAUUUUAGCACCAACCCUCAAUUAUUAUUUUCGAAUGUAGUGACUCCCACGUCUAAGUUUGGCAACAUUUUGACUUGAAUUUUCUUUUUUUUUUCAACUUGCAUUUUUUAAUUCGUAUUUUAAUUUAUCAUGGGUAGUUUUAAAAUAUUAAUUUAAUUUUUUUACUAAAAUGCAAUUGAAUAUUGCAAUUAAAAUAAUAUUAAUAUUUUCACUAAAAUUUUAUAAUAUAAUUCUUUUUAAAUAAAAUCAAAAAUUGAUAUAAUAUAAUAUAAAAUUUAUAUUUAUUCAGAUACAUUUAUCACUACAUUAAAUCUAUAAAUGUAAAUUUUAUAUUAUAAAUUUUUAAUUAUAUAUAUUUAUAUGUUAAAAUAUUAUAUAUGCUUUAGAAAUCAAUUAAAAAAAUUUAAACCUUAAAAAUAUUAAAAUUUUAUCAGUUUUAUUUUUUUAUAUAAAUAAUUUCUUAAAAAUGAUUAACACCAAAAAAAUAAUAUAUUAAAGUAUUUUACUGAAUUUAUAUGCAUGUUUAUCUGUGACUUUAAACACGACAUACCUAUGUGUUUACCUUUUGGCUUAAAAGAAUUUGGAAACCAACCCACGUUUCUCAUCUUGUUUAAUUGAUUGCAAUCAAAUCGAACCAGUUAAAUCAUUCAUAACUUAGAACGGUCUGAUUUAAACAGAGUCAUUGGUUUUGGUUUCGAGGGGCACCGAUUUUGGGUGGGAGCUCACCGCAAAGGAAACCGAGAGGUUCCUUCCAGUUUGUGGUGAGAGAGACAAGAAUCUUUUAUUACAAAAGAUAAAGGACGAUUUCAUGAAGAAAAAGAAAGGGACAGUCAAUCCAGCGCAACCACAUCCACAUGGUGGCUGUAUGAUGGAGCCUCCAGAAAAUCCAGACACUGCCAAGACCAUUUCUUACACUCGUUAAACGUAUUGUCGUUCAAUGAAUGGACGAUGUCUCACACGCACACCCCUUCUGUCCAUGGGCCCCAUUUGAUUAACAUUCAUUGUGCAUAUCCUUCAUUUUCCAGGGCGUGCUUAAUUUUGAUGGUUGCGGUGCCAACGAUUCAUUAAGAAACAAAUUUUAAAUUUAUAUUUUUUUAAAUUAAAAUUAAAAAUUAAAAAAAUAAAAUAUAAAAUUUCUCAAACUUAUUUAAAUAUAUUUACUAUUAAAUUAAGUAUGUAAAUACUUUAAAUUUAUAUCCUAUUAUAUAAUUGUAAAUGCUUUAAGUUUAUAUUCUAUUAUAUAAUUAUAAAUUUUCUUUUUAUUUAUCGAAAAUCCAGUGGAUCAAGUAACAAUUGUGGAUAAAUGAAGAUAAUUUUAAUAUAAAUAAGGUUUAUUGGCUAAAAAUUAGUGAAAUUAAUUCAAAGCUAAUCUCAAAUGACAAUAAUUUAAUUGCUGAAUAAGCAACUCUUGCUAUAGCCUACUGCCUAGAGCAGCCAACAAUACCUCACUUUUACCUUCCACAGUGGUAGGUGAAGCCAGAAUGGACUCAGCCAACGGACUCGCAGUUUGAUAAUUAUGACUAUUACGGUUCAUUUUUAAAGGUUUUUUUUUUAAAAAAUAAAAAUUGGACGUGGGUUAGUAGAAUUUAAAAUUUUAUAUUUAUUAUUACUAUAGUCAAUGAGUAACCAAAUGUUUUAUGUGAAACUCAACUCGUUAUUGUUGUGCAUAAUAAUUUUUUAAAAAUCAAGUGACACUUAAAUUUUAUUGAGAUAACCUUGUAAAUAUUUAUUCUGCCCUUUUCAAUUAUAGACCAAGGUAAGAUGAAAUCCUAGAUGUUACCAUCACCAGCCAAGAAGCACCCACAAAUCUCUUUCCCCUUCUCUUCUUCUUCUUCUUCUUCUUCUUCUUCUAUAAACUAAGUUUAAACCACUUGCUGAAAAUGUAACCAGAGCAAAAGGCCAAAACUUUAGCUAUCUUGCAGAAAACAGAACAUCCUCUGUUUCAGAAAUUUUAACUUUUCAUUGUAUAAUGUUCCAGAAACUGUCUCCUUUCUUGUUUUUUCUCUCUUUUCUUUUGAACCCAGUUUUUUCUCAGCUAGAUGAGCUCUUUUCCCAAGGCUUUGAUCAUGCCAGGAGCAACAUGAGCGUCUGUGAUGGUGCUCAGAUUGAAGAUAAUGGCAUACUUCGGUUAACAAACAAUUCUCUUCGCUUGAAAGGCCAUGCUUUUUACUCAAAUCAAAUGCAAUUCAAGAGCUCUAUCACUGGCAAAGCUUUCUCCUUCUCCACCGCCUUCGCUUUCGCCAUAGUUCCUGAGUACCCAAAGCUUGGUGGCCAUGGUUUUGCUUUCACCAUCUCUCCCUCAAAAGACCUACCUGGGUCUCUUCCAAGCCAGUACCUAGGCCUACUCAAUGCAAGCAAUAUUGGUAAUUUCUCCAAUCACAUCUUCGCAGUUGAAUUUGAUACAGUUCAAGAUUUUGAGUUUGGAGAUAUUAAUGAUAACCAUGUGGGUAUUGAUAUAAAUAGCUUGGUAUCAAAUAAAUCUGCUCCUGCUACUUUUUUUAUUGAUAAUUCUACUAAGAUGAAUCUGACUCUCCAAAGUGGUAGGGUUUUUCAAGCUUGGGUUGAUUAUGACUCGACCCAGAAUCUAAUAGAGGUUAGGCUUUCAUCUUCUUCCACAAAACCAAGAUCUCCGAUCUUGUCUUUUGAAGUAGAUCUUUCUCCUUUCCUCCAUGAUUAUAUGUAUGUGGGAUUCUCUUCAUCUACUGGGUUGCUGGCAAGCACACACUAUAUUCUUGGAUGGAGUUUUACAAUGAAUAAAAUGGCUCAAUCUUUAUCUCUAUCUUCUCUUCCUUCUCUACCUCGGCCAGGAAAGAAUCAUACAGUGCUGAUUGCUGUUGUCACAUUUUCAGCUGUUGUGUUCAUAAUCUUGGUCAUGGGUAUAGCUUUUUACCUGGUUAGAAAGAUUAAAAAUGCGGAUGUGAUCGAGGAAUGGGAGUUUGAUGUUGGUCCUCAUAGAUUUUCUUAUCAAGAACUCAAGAAAGCAACAAGGGGAUUCAGAGACAAAGAGCUUCUUGGAUUUGGUGGAUUUGGCAAAGUUUAUAAAGGAACUCUACCAAAUUCUAAUACUCAAGUUGCUGUUAAGCGAAUCUCUCGUGAAUCUAAACAAGGUGUGAGGGAAUUUACGUCUGAGAUUGCUAGUAUUGGUCGUCUUAGACAUAGAAAUUUGGUUCAGUUGCUGGGUUGGUGUCGCCGGCGAGGUGACUUACUACUUGUCUAUGAUUUCAUGCCUAAUGGGAGCUUAGACAAGUACUUGUUUGAUAAUCCUAAAACCAUUCUCAAUUGGGAACAAAGAUUCAAUAUUAUUAAAGGUGUUGCUUCUGGCCUUCUGUAUUUGCAUGAAGGAUGGGAACAGACUGUGAUUCAUAGAGACAUAAAGGCAGGCAAUGUGUUGUUAGAUUCUGAGCUAAAUGGAAGACUUGGUGACUUUGGUCUUGCCAAAUUGUAUGAGCGAGGCACUAAUCCUAGCACCACUAGGGUGGUGGGCACUUUAGGUUACUUAGCACCUGAGCUAACAAGAACCGGCAAGCCUACUACAAGCUCAGAUGUGUUUGCAUUUGGUGCACUACUGCUUGAAGUGGUGUGUGGAAGGAGACCUAUUGAGCCUAAAGCAAUGCCUGAGGAGCUCAUUUUGGUGGACUGGGUGUGGGAGAAGUGGAAAAAUGGUGCAAUUCUUGAUGUUGUGGAUCCGCGAUUGAAUGAUGAGUUUGAUGAACUUGAAGCUGUUGUUGUGUUGAAACUCGGACUAAUGUGUUCCAACAAUUUACCCAACGUUAGGCCGACGAUGAGGCAAGUUGUGAGAUACUUGGAGGGAGAAGUGUCGUUGCCGGAGGUGGUUGCGGCCCCAGAUGCAUACGAUGGGAAAAAGAGUGAGGGUGGUAAUGGUGGAGAGUUUGAAGAUUAUGUUCAUUCAUAUCCAUCAUCAACAAAUUUUGACAAGUUCACUACAUGGUCAUGUGGGGCUGAUUAUGGGGAUAUUGAUAUUGAAGCUGGUUCGACUUCGUUUCGCUCACCUUCUCAUCGAAAUGAAGGCAGAUAACCAUUGUGCAGAUCUAAAUCUUCACCUUUUUAUAAUUUUUCUAGUCUUGAGAUAUGCUGUCUGUAUACAUAUUCAUCCUCAGAUAUUAAUUAAUUGAUUGAUAUCCAUUCAUGGGCUGUAAAUUUCCAAGUUGAUAUAGAUUUUUAUACAUUCACUGUGAGAAACUUGACAUCUGCAUAAAGUCUAUGAUAUUCCUGUGUUGUCCUCCAAAAGUUUGCUACUUCAGGCAAGAUCCUGUUUGUCCAUGGAUUCCACCAAAAAUUGCGGCAGAUCACUGUUUUUGGCAGUGCAUCUGCAUCACUAAAUGUGGGUACAAUUCGGACCCAUGUUGAAAUAAACGUCAAUUGCAAUAUUAAAAUUUACAAGAGUCCUUGGUAAUAAAGUAAAGAUGCUGGAGAAGUCCACACAUGCAAUUCCAAAAUGGAUCAGCUUCAGCGGCUGAUCAGAUUUUGACAAGGACUUAACAGUGAGUUUGUCUAAAACUUUUGCAAGAGUCCCAAGCAGUCUAUGGACAUGAAACAAAUUGCCUUUGCAUAGAGAACUCAUGUUUAACACGCCAUUCUUCAUUUCUUAUCAAAUACUAAAGGUGUAGGAACUUCUAUGUGAUAAAUUAUUGGCGACAUAUUUUUGCCAAUUUGGGAAAAUGACUUUGGAUAUUUUUUUAGACCUUGUUACAUCAGACGUGUCAUUUGAAGUCUGUUUAUUGAAAAAAUUGAAUAUAAAUCACUUUUGAAUUAUAAAUCUAAACCUUAUCAGAGGCUAAUUUUAGUUCAAUUUCAAAUUAAAAUCGUCCGUUUAUUGGAUAUUAGUGAAACUGUUUCGAUUCAUAUCUAGUUUGAAAUUUUUUAAAACGACAAUAAUCUUAAUAUUUUAUACAUUAAAAUAUAUAAAUUUUUAAAAUUUAAUUUUAUCAUAUAUUUAAUUUUUAUAGUAAAACAUAAAGGGGCCAAAUCAACCUAUAUAAUUUUUUUAAAAAAAAAAAAAUUUUAAAUAUAUCAUGCGAAAUUCAAAAUCAAUUUAUGAUAAAAAAAUCUUGUUUUAAAAGCAUUAAUUCCUUCUAGAAUAGCCUUUCUUGUCCGAUUAUAGAUUGCAACUUUAAGUUUUUUACACGUGCCCUUGUGAUUGGUCCAAGUGGCAUUCAUGGUAGCAACAAUAAUGCUACUAUGUCUUCAUCCAUGGUAGCAUGGUUGAUGCCCUCACCAAUCGAAGUGUCUCGGUUUGGAACUGGCAAUUCUUGCUGGCCACCGAUUCCAAUCUUGG